rnacentral:rRNA from 1 species
UUAAGCGACUAAGCGUACACGGUGGAUGCCCUGGCAGUCAGAGGCGAUGAAGGACGUGCUAAUCUGCGAUAAGCGUCGGUAAGGUGAUAUGAACCGUUAUAACCGGCGAUUUCCGAAUGGGGAAACCCAGUGUGAUUCGUCACACUAUCAUUAACUGAAUCCAUAGGUUAAUGAGGCGAACCGGGGGAACUGAAACAUCUAAGUACCCCGAGGAAAAGAAAUCAACCGAGAUUCCCCCAGUAGCGGCGAGCGAACGGGGAGCAGCCCAGAGCCUGAAUCAGUGUGUGUGUUAGUGGAAGCGUCUGGAAAGGCGCGCGAUACAGGGUGACAGCCCCGUACACAAAAAUGCACAUGCUGUGAGCUCGAUGAGUAGGGCGGGACACGUGGUAUCCUGUCUGAAUAUGGGGGGACCAUCCUCCAAGGCUAAAUACUCCUGACUGACCGAUAGUGAACCAGUACCGUGAGGGAAAGGCGAAAAGAACCCCGGCGAGGGGAGUGAAAAAGAACCUGAAACCGUGUACGUACAAGCAGUGGGAGCACAGAGCAAUCUGUGUGACUGCGUACCUUUUGUAUAAUGGGUCAGCGACUUAUAUUCUGUAGCAAGGUUAACCGAAUAGGGGAGCCGAAGGGAAACCGAGUCUUAACUGGGCGUUAAGUUGCAGGGUAUAGACCCGAAACCCGGUGAUCUAGCCAUGGGCAGGUUGAAGGUUGGGUAACACUAACUGGAGGACCGAACCGACUAAUGUUGAAAAAUUAGCGGAUGACUUGUGGCUGGGGGUGAAAGGCCAAUCAAACCGGGAGAUAGCUGGUUCUCCCCGAAAGCUAUUUAGGUAGCGCCUCGUGAAUUCAUCUCCGGGGGUAGAGCACUGUUUCGGCAAGGGGGUCAUCCCGACUUACCAACCCGAUGCAAACUGCGAAUACCGGAGAAUGUUAUCACGGGAGACACACGGCGGGUGCUAACGUCCGUCGUGAAGAGGGAAACAACCCAGACCGCCAGCUAAGGUCCCAAAGUCAUGGUUAAGUGGGAAACGAUGUGGGAAGGCCCAGACAGCCAGGAUGUUGGCUUAGAAGCAGCCAUCAUUUAAAGAAAGCGUAAUAGCUCACUGGUCGAGUCGGCCUGCGCGGAAGAUGUAACGGGGCUAAACCAUGCACCGAAGCUGCGGCAGCGACGCUUAUGCGUUGUUGGGUAGGGGAGCGUUCUGUAAGCCUGCGAAGGUGUGCUGUGAGGCAUGCUGGAGGUAUCAGAAGUGCGAAUGCUGACAUAAGUAACGAUAAAGCGGGUGAAAAGCCCGCUCGCCGGAAGACCAAGGGUUCCUGUCCAACGUUAAUCGGGGCAGGGUGAGUCGACCCCUAAGGCGAGGCCGAAAGGCGUAGUCGAUGGGAAACAGGUUAAUAUUCCUGUACUUGGUGUUACUGCGAAGGGGGGACGGAGAAGGCUAUGUUGGCCGGGCGACGGUUGUCCCGGUUUAAGCGUGUAGGCUGGUUUUCCAGGCAAAUCCGGAAAAUCAAGGCUGAGGCGUGAUGACGAGGCACUACGGUGCUGAAGCAACAAAUGCCCUGCUUCCAGGAAAAGCCUCUAAGCAUCAGGUAACAUCAAAUCGUACCCCAAACCGACACAGGUGGUCAGGUAGAGAAUACCAAGGCGCUUGAGAGAACUCGGGUGAAGGAACUAGGCAAAAUGGUGCCGUAACUUCGGGAGAAGGCACGCUGAUAUGUAGGUGAAGUCCCUCGCGGAUGGAGCUGAAAUCAGUCGAAGAUACCAGCUGGCUGCAACUGUUUAUUAAAAACACAGCACUGUGCAAACACGAAAGUGGACGUAUACGGUGUGACGCCUGCCCGGUGCCGGAAGGUUAAUUGAUGGGGUCAGCGCAAGCGAAGCUCUUGAUCGAAGCCCCGGUAAACGGCGGCCGUAACUAUAACGGUCCUAAGGUAGCGAAAUUCCUUGUCGGGUAAGUUCCGACCUGCACGAAUGGCGUAAUGAUGGCCAGGCUGUCUCCACCCGAGACUCAGUGAAAUUGAACUCGCUGUGAAGAUGCAGUGUACCCGCGGCAAGACGGAAAGACCCCGUGAACCUUUACUAUAGCUUGACACUGAACAUUGAGCCUUGAUGUGUAG